rnacentral:rRNA from 1 species
AUGAAGCGGAAGUUCAUUAUGAUGCCAGUUAUCAUCCAAGGCCCUAAGCAACUCGGCAACGACAUUGAUGUGUACCUAAGGCCAUUAGUUGAAGAACUUUUACAGUUGUGGAAUGGAAACGGUAUACGUGUGUGGGAUGAGCACAAACAACAGGAAUUUGACCUGCAUGCGUUGCUGUUUGUAACCAUCAAUGAUUGGCCUGCUCUCAGUAACCUUUCAUCACAGACAAACAAGGGAUACCACGCAUGCACGCACUAUUUAGAUGACACCGAAAGUAUAUACCUGGACAAAUGCAGGAAGAAUGUGUACCUGGGGCAUCGUCGAUUUCUUCCGACCAACCAUCAACGUCGAAAGAAAGGCAAGCAUUUCAAAGGAGAGGCAGAUCACCGGAAGAAGCCCGCCAUCCGUACCGGUGAUCACAUACUUGCUAUGGUCAAUGAUUUACAUGUAAUCUUUGGAAAGGGUCCCGACGGACUAUGUGUUCCGAAUGAUGCUGAGGGACGCGCACCCAUGUGGAAGAACAAAUAUAUAUUUUGGGACCUACUGUCGGUGUCAAAACCGGUGGAUCUCGGGUAG